UACGUAGGGUGCAAGCGUUAAUCGGAAUUACUGGGCGUAAAGCGUGCGCAGGCGGUUGUGCAAGACAGAUGUGAAAUCCCCCGGGCUCAACCUGGGAACUGCAUUUUGUGACUGCAUCGCUGGAGUACGGCAGAGGGGGAUGGAAUUCCGCGUGUAGCAGUGAAAUGCGUAGAGAUGUGGAGGAAUACCGAUGGCGAAGGCAGCCCCCCUGGGAUAACACUGACGCUCAUGCACGAAAGCGUGGGGAGCAAACAGG
rnacentral:rRNA from 1 species